UUAAGUUAGAAAGGGCGCACGGUGGAUGCCUUGACACUAGGAGUCGAUGAAGGACGGGACUAACGCCGAUAUGCUUCGGGGAGCUGUAAGUAAGCUUUGAUCCGAAGAUUUCCGAAUGGGGAAACCCACCACACUUAAUGGUAUGGUAUCCUUAUCUGAAUACAUAGGGUAAGGAAGACAGACCCAGGGAACUGAAACAUCUAAGUACCUGGAGGAAGAGAAAGCAAAUGCGAUUUCCUGAGUAGCGGCGAGCGAAACGGAACAUAGCCCAAACCAAGAGGCUUGCCUCUUGGGGUUGUAGGACAUUCUAUACGGAGUUACAAAGGAACGAGGUAGACGAAGCGACCUGGAAAGGUCCGUCGUAGAGGGUAACAACCCCGUAGUCGAAACUUCGUUCUCUCUUGAAUGUAUCCUGAGUACGGCGGAACACGUGAAAUUCCGUCGGAAUCUGGGAGGACCAUCUCCCAAGGCUAAAUACUCCCUAGUGAUCGAUAGUGAACCAGUACCGUGAGGGAAAGGUGAAAAGCACCCCGGAAGGGGAGUGAAAGAGAUCCUGAAACCGUGUGCCUACAAAUAGUCAGAGCCCGUUAACGGGUGAUGGCGUGCCUUUUGUAGAAUGAACCGGCGAGUUACGAUCCCGUGCGAGGUUAAGCUGAAGAGGCGGAGCCGCAGCGAAAGCGAGUCUGAAUAGGGCGUUUAGUACGUGGUCGUAGACCCGAAACCAGGUGAUCUACCCAUGUCCAGGGUGAAGUUCAGGUAACACUGAAUGGAGGCCCGAACCCACGCACGUUGAAAAGUGCGGGGAUGAGGUGUGGGUAGCGGAGAAAUUCCAAUCGAACCUGGAGAUAGCUGGUUCUCCCCGAAAUAGCUUUAGGGCUAGCCUUAAGUGUAAGAGUCUUGGAGGUAGAGCACUGAUUGGACUAGGGGUCCUCAUCGGAUUACCGAAUUCAGUCAAACUCCGAAUGCCAAUGACUUAUCCUUAGGAGUCAGACUGCGAGUGAUAAGAUCCGUAGUCAAAAGGGAAACAGCCCAGACCGCCAGCUAAGGUCCCAAAGUGUGUAUUAAGUGGAAAAGGAUGUGGAGUUGCUUAGACAACUAGGAUGUUGGCUUAGAAGCAGCCACCAUUUAAAGAGUGCGUAAUAGCUCACUAGUCGAGUGACUCUGCGCCGAAAAUGUACCGGGGCUAAAUACACCACCGAAGCUGCGGAUUGAUACCAAUGGUAUCAGUGGUAGGGGAGCGUUCUAAGGACAGUGAAGUCAGACCGGAAGGACUGGUGGAGUGCUUAGAAGUGAGAAUGCCGGUAUGAGUAGCGAAAGACGGGUGAGAAUCCCGUCCACCGAAUGCCUAAGGUUUCCUGAGGAAGGCUCGUCCGCUCAGGGUUAGUCAGGACCUAAGCCGAGGCCGACAGGCGUAGGCGAUGGACAACAGGUUGAUAUUCCUGUACCACCUCUUUAUCGUUUGAGCAAUGGAGGGACGCAGAAGGAUAGAAGAAGCGUGCGAUUGGUUGUGCACGUCCAAGCAGUUAGGCUGAUAAGUAGGCAAAUCCGCUUAUCGUGAAGGCUGAGCUGUGAUGGGGAAGCUCCUUAUGGAGCGAAGUCUUUGAUUCCCCGCUGCCAAGAAAAGCUUCUAGCGAGAUAAAAGGUGCCUGUACCGCAAACCGACACAGGUAGGCGAGGAGAGAAUCCUAAGGUGUGCGAGAGAACUCUGGUUAAGGAACUCGGCAAAAUGACCCCGUAACUUCGGGAGAAGGGGUGCUUUCUUAACGGAAAGCCGCAGUGAAUAGGCCCAAGCGACUGUUUAGCAAAAACACAGCUCUCUGCGAAGCCGUAAGGCGAAGUAUAGGGGGUGACACCUGCCCGGUGCUGGAAGGUUAAGGAGAGGGGUUAGCGUAAGCGAAGCUCUGAACUGAAGCCCCAGUAAACGGCGGCCGUAACUAUAACGGUCCUAAGGUAGCGAAAUUCCUUGUCGGGUAAGUUCCGACCCGCACGAAAGGUGUAACGAUUUGGGCACUGUCUCAACCAGAGACUCGGUGAAAUUAUAGUACCUGUGAAGAUGCAGGUUACCCGCGACAGGACGGAAAGACCCCGUGGAGCUUUACUGUAGCCUGAUAUUGAAUUUUGGUACAGUUUGUACAGGAUAGGCGGGAGCCUUUGAAACCGGAGCGCUAGCUUCGGUGGAGGCGCUGGUGGGAUACCGCCCUGACUGUAUUGAAAUUCUAACCUACGGGUCUUAUCGACCCGGGAGACAGUGUCAGGUGGGCAGUUUGACUGGGGCGGUCGCCUCCUAAAGUGUAACGGAGGCGCCCAAAGGUUCCCUCAGAAUGGUUGGAAAUCAUUCGUAGAGUGCAAAGGCAUAAGGGAGCUUGACUGCGAGACCUACAAGUCGAGCAGGGACGAAAGUCGGGCUUAGUGAUCCGGUGGUUCCGCAUGGAAGGGCCAUCGCUCAACGGAUAAAAGCUACCCCGGGGAUAACAGGCUUAUCUCCCCCAAGAGUCCACAUCGACGGGGAGGUUUGGCACCUCGAUGUCGGCUCAUCGCAUCCUGGGGCUGUAGUCGGUCCCAAGGGUUGGGCUGUUCGCCCAUUAAAGCGGUACGCGAGCUGGGUUCAGAACGUCGUGAGACAGUUCGGUCCCUAUCCGUCGUGGGCGUAGGAAAUUUGAGAGGAGCUGUCCUUAGUACGAGAGGACCGGGAUGGACGCACCGCUGGUGUACCAGUUGUUCUGCCAAGGGCAUAGCUGGGUAGCUAUGUGCGGAAGGGAUAAGUGCUGAAAGCAUCUAAGCAUGAAGCCCCCCUCAAGAUGAGAUUUCCCAUAGCGUAAGCUAGUAAGAUCCCUGAAAGAUGAUCAGGUUGAUAGGUUCGAGGUGGAAGCAUGGUGACAUGUGGAGCUGACGAAUACUAAUAGAUCGAGGACUUAACCAU
rnacentral:rRNA from 1 species